rnacentral:rRNA from 1 species
UACGGGGGGGGUAAGCGUUGUUCGGAAUUACUGGGCGUAAAGAGCGUGUAGGCGGCCUUACAGGUCAGCUGUGAAAACUCGAGGCUCAACCUCGAGACGUCGGUUGAAACCGUAAGGCUAGAGUCCGGAAGAGGAGAGUGGAAUUCCCGGUGUAGCGGUGAAAUGCGCAGAUAUCGGGAAGAACACCCGUGGCGAAGGCGGCUCUCUGGGACGGUACUGACGCUGAGACGCGAAAGCGUGGGGAGCGAACAGG